rnacentral:rRNA from 1 species
UACGUAGGGGCCAAGCGUUGUCCGGAUUUAUUGGGCGUAAAGAGCGUGUAGGCGGCCAUGUAGGUCCGUUGUGAAAACUCGAGGCUCAACCUCGAGACGCCGAUGGAAACCAUGUGGCUAGAGUCCGGAAGAGGAGAGUGGAAUUCCUGGUGUAGCGGUGAAAUGCGCAGAUAUCAGGAAGAACACCCGUGGCUAAGGCGGCUCUCUAGUACGGUACUGACGCUGAGACGCGAAAGCGUGGGGAGCGAACAGG